rnacentral:rRNA from 1 species
GGCAGACGGGUGAGUAACGCGUGGGAAUCUACCGGACCCUACGGAAUAACGCAUGGAAACGUGUGCUAAUACCGUAUACGCCCUAAGGGGGAAAGAUUUAUCGGGGUUUGAUGAGCCCGCGUUGGAUUAGCUAGUUGGUGGGGUAAAGGCCUACCAAGGCGACGAUCCAUAGCUGGUCUGAGAGGAUGAUCAGUCACAUUGGGACUGAGACACGGCCCAAACUCCCUACGGGAGGCAGCAGUGGGGAAUAUUGGACAAUGGGCGCAAGCCUGAUCCAGCCAUGCCGCGUGAGUGAUGAAGGCCCUAGGGUUGUAAAGCUCUUUCACCGGAGAAGAUAAUGACGGUAUCCGGAGAAGAAGCCCCGGCUAACUUCGUGCCAGCCGCCGCGG